rnacentral:rRNA from 1 species
GGGUUAAGUUGACGAAAGCGUUAUACCGGUGGAUGCCUUGGCAGUUUAGAGGCAUUGAAAGGACGUGUAAGUCUGCCAAAAAUGCUGUUGGUUAAGCCGACAAAAUGCAUUUGAGCCACAGAUUUCCGAAUGGGGAAACCC